UGCAGCGACGCCGCGUGAGGGAUGACGGCCUUCGGGUUGUAAACCUCUUUCAAUAGGGACGAAGCGCAAGUGACGGUACCUAUAGAAGAAGGACCGGCCAACUACGUGCCAGCAGCCGCGGUAAUACGUAGGGUCCGAGCGUUGUCCGGAAUUACUGGGCGUAAAGAGCUCGUAGGUGGUUUGUCGCGUUGUUCGUGAAAACUCACAGCUCAACUGUGGGCGUGCGGGCGAUACGGGCAGACUAGAGUACUGCAGGGGAGACUGGAAUUCCUGGUGUAGCGGUGGAAUGCGCAGAUAUCAGGAGGAACACCGGUGGCGAAGGCGGGUCUCUGGGCAGUAACUGACGCUGAGGAGCGAAAGCGUGGGGAGCGAACAGGAUUAGAUACCCUGGUAGUCCACGCCGUAAACGGUGGGUACUAGGUGUGGGUUUCCUUCCUUGGGAUCCGUGCCGUAGCUAACGCAUUAAGUACCCCGCCUGGGGAGUACGGCCGCAAGGCUAAAACUCAAAGAAAUUGACGGGGGCCCGCACAAGCGGCGGAGCAUGUGGAUUAAUUCGAUGCAACGCGAAGAACCUUACCUGGGUUUGACAUGCACAGGACGCCGGCAGAGAUGUCGGUUCCCUUGUGGCCUG
rnacentral:rRNA from 1 species